rnacentral:rRNA from 1 species
UGUCGAAACGGCUUUUUUACACCCGUCUUGNAACACGGACCAAGGAGUUAUUCGUACGACUGAGUGUUUGAGUGAAAAACUCAUCCGCGAAGUGAAAGCAAGUAUAAGGUGCCAACGGCUUGCCCGGCAGCAUCAGCCCUCGGCGAUCUUUUGUGAGCCGUAGGAGUGAGAAGUCGUCCGAAUAGACCCGAAAGAUGGUGAACUUUGCGUGAAUAGGUUGAAGCCUUUCGAAAGAGAGGUGGAAGGCCGAAUCGGUACUGACGUGCAAAUCGUUCGUGAAAUUUACGUAAAGGGGCGAAAGACUAAUCGAACCAAUGGCUAGUAGCUGGUUCCACCCGAAGUUUCUCUCAGGAUAGCAGGAACAACAACGUAGUUUUACCAGGUAAAGCUAAUGAUUAGGAGUAUCGGGAGGUUAAUCCUCUUGACUCAUUCUCAAACUUUAAAUUGGUAAGAAGAUCUAAGUUUUCUUAACUGAACUUUGUCGUAGAAUACGUGUUCUUAGUGGGCCAUUUUUGGUAAGCAGAACUGGCGAUGAGGGAUGAACCUUUCGCUGAGGUAAAGAGCCUAAUUUCGCAUUCAUCGGACACCAAAAAAGGUGUUGAUUCAUUAAGACAAUUGGACUGUGACCCUAAAAGUAGGUAUCAGCUAAGAAGUGUCUAACAACUUACCAAUCGAAUGAAUUAGCCCUGAAAAUGGAUGGCGCUACAGUGCGAAUCUGAUCCUCGGCCUUUAGACCAAAUAUGCGGUUUAAAGAGUAGGGUGGCGUGACGGUAGUACUGAAGCUUGGACGUGAGUCCGAGUGAAACUGCCGUUAGUGCAGAUCUUGGUGGUAGUAGCAAUUAUUCAAAUGAGAACUUUGAAGGCCGAGUGGAGAUGGUUUCCAUGAGAACUGUAUUGGGUCAUGGGUUAGCCGGUCCUAAGUCAAAGCUUAAUUGCUUUUAAUGAUGCAAUAGUAUCGAAGACAAAAGGGAAUGGCGUUAAUAUUCGUCAGCGUCGUCAGCGAUAUUGUGUGGUAACACAAACAAGCCCGGAAACACCAGAUCGUACCGCCUGAAGGACUUUCUUUUCUUUUUAACUCUCUAUGGCCUUGGAAUGGGAUUAUCCCGCGAGACGGCAAAACGAGAGGAAGAGUACCCCACUUUUUGGGGUACAGGCUGCGUCCGAUAUGGUCCAUGAAAAUCCGGGGGAGAGAUUUAUUCAGCUGCGACUCCGUACCGAAACCGCAUCAGGUCUCCUAGGUUAACAGCCUCUGGUCAACGAGCGAAUGUAGUCCAAGGAAGUCGGCAAAAUAGAUCUGUAACUUCGGGAAAAGGAUUGGCUCUGAGGAUCGAGUGUUCCGAGCCCGUAGUGAAGGAUGACUUGAAAAGAACGCGAUUUUCGCAAGAAAGUUUCGUACUAGACAAGUCUCUAGAACUUUGCGGCAAAGUCACAAUUAACGAUUAACUCAGAACUGAAGCGGACAAGGGAAAUCUAACUGUCUAAUAACAACAUAGCAAAGUGAUGGCGUGAAAACGUGUUGACACUUUGUGAUUUCUGCCCAGUGCUACGAACGUUAAUGUGAUGAAAUUCACGCAAGCGCGGGUAAACGGCGGGAGUAACUAUGACUCUCUUAAGGUAGCCAAAUGCCUCGUCAUGUAAUUUGUGACGCGCAUGAAUGGAUCACUGAGAUUUCUACUGUCUCGGACUACUACUCGGCGAACCCACAGCCAAGGGUACGGGCUUGGCAAAAUCAGCGGGGAAAGAAGACCCUGUUGAGCUUGA